CCUACGGGGGGCAGCAGUAGGGAAUCUUUCUCAAUGGGCGAAAGCCUGAUGGAGCCACGCCGCGUGUAGGAUGACGGCCCUAGGGUUGUAAACUGCUUUUAUAAGCGAGAAAUAUGAUGGUAACUUAUGAAUAAGGAUCGGCGAACUACGUGCCAGCAGCCGCGGUCAAACGUAGGAUCCGAGCAUUAUCCGGAGUGACUGGGGGUAAAGAGUUGCGUAGGUGGCAUAAUAAGUAGCUAGUGAAAUCUGGUGGCUCAACCAUUCAGACUAUUAGCUAAACUGUUAAGCUCGAGACCGUUAGAGGUAACUGGAAUUUCUGGUGUAGGAGUGAAAUGCGUAGAUAUCAGAAGGAACACCGAUAGCGUAGGCAGGUUACUGGGACGGUUCUGACACUAAGGCACGAAAGCGUAGGUAGCAAACGGGAUUAGAUACCCCUGUAGUC
rnacentral:rRNA from 1 species